rnacentral:rRNA from 1 species
AAUGAACGUUGGCGGCGUGGAUUAGGCAUGCAAGUCGCGCGACAAGGAACCUUCGGGUUCUGGAGGAGCGGCAAACGGGGUAGUAAGGCAUCGGAACGUACCCUCUUGUUGGGAAUAGCCGCGGGAAACUGCGAGUAAUGCCCAAUAAUCCCUACGGGGCAAAGGUCCGCCGCAGGAGGAGCGGCCGAUGUGAUACCAGCUAGUUGGUGAGGUAAUGGCUCACCAAGGCUUAGACGUCUAGGGGGUGUGAGAGCAUGGCCCCCACCACUGGGACUGAGAUACUGCCCAGACACCUACGGGUGGCUGCAGUCGAGAAUCUUCGGCAAUGGGCGCAAGCCUGACCGAGCAACGCCGCCGUGCGGGA